UACGGGGGGGGCAAGCGUUGUUCGGAAUUACUGGGCGUAAAGGGCUCGUAGGUGGCCAACUAAGUCAGACGUGAAAUCCCUCGGCUUAACCGGGGAACUGCGUCUGAUACUGGAUGGCUUGAGUGUGGCAGAGGGGGGUGGAAUUCCGCGUGUAGCAGUGAAAUGCGUAGAGAUGCGGAGGAACACCGAUGGCGAAGGCAGCCCCCUGGGCCAACACUGACGCUCAGGCACGAAAGCGUGGGGAGCAAACAGG
rnacentral:rRNA from 1 species